rnacentral:rRNA from 1 species
UGAGGAAUAUUGGACAAUGGAUGGAAAUCUGAUCCAGCCAUGCCGCGUGCAGGAAGACGGCCCUAUGGGUUGUAAACUGCUUUUAUACGGGAGCAAUAAGGUCUACGAGUAGGCCGAUGAGAGUACCGUAGGAAUAAGCACCGGCUAACUCCGUGCCAGCAGCCGCGGUAAUACGGAGGGUGCAAGCGUUAUCCGGAUUUAUUGGGUUUAAAGGGUGCGUAGGCGGUUUCUUAAGUCAGCGGUGAAAGUUUUCAGCUUAACUGGAAAAAUGCCGUUGAUACUGAGAGGCUUGAAUAUGGUUGCUGUGGGUGGAAUGUGUGGUGUAGCGGUGAAAUGCUUAGAUAUCACACAGAAUAUCAAUUGCGAAGGCAGCUCACAAAGCCAUUAUUGACGCUGAGGCACGAAAGUGUGGGGAUCAAACA